GUCCCAGUAGCUCAGCUGGAUAGAGCAACAGCCUUCUAAGCUGUGGGUCAGGGGUUCGAAUCCCUUCUGGGACGCUA
rnacentral:tRNA from 1 species